UAUGUGAUCGUCUCUCGCAUAUCAAUAAGCGGAGGAAAAGAAACUAACAAGGAUUCCCCUAGUAACGGCGAGUGAAGCGGGAAGAGCUCAAAUUUGAAAUCUUAAAGGGUUUCCCUUUACGAAUUGUAGUUUAAAGAAGUGUUUUCUGUUGAGGUUUUGGUAAAAGUUCUUUGGAAUAGGACAUCAUAGAGGGUGAGAAUCCCGUAUUUGACCUUUACUUUCAACUUUGUGAUACACUUUCAAAGAGUCGGAUUGUUUGGGAAUGCAGUCCAAAAUGGGUGGUAAAUUUCAUCUAAAGCUAAAUAUUGGCGAGAGACCGAUAGCGAACAAGUACCGUGAGGGAAAGAUGAAAAGAACCUUGAAAAGAGAGUUAAACAGUACGUGAAAUUGUCAAAAGGGAAGCGUUUGACACCAGUGUUGUUUUUCUGAAAAUCAAUUAAAGAACUGUUUAUGCUAAGCUGUUUAGACUUUAUCAGCUAUCUGUUUAGUUUUGAGCUUUUCUUUAAUGCACUUUUCAGUUAACAAGUCAACAUCAAUUUCUUUUGCUGUAAAAAAGCUUGAGGAAGGUGGCUUGAGAUUCGUCUUAAGUGUUUAUAGCCUCUUGCCUAUGCAGUCGGAGAGAUUGAGGUCUGCAGCGUAGAUCCUUCGGGGCUAAAUGCAUUUGUGCUAAGUUAUAGCAUUUUAUAGACAACUUGUUGACUAUGAUUUGUCUUGUAGCUUACUCGCUUAUGUUAUUUUACCUACGCUUAGGAUGUUGAGUAGCGACAUACGCA
rnacentral:rRNA from 1 species